rnacentral:misc_RNA from 1 species
GAUGAAGAACUUAGCGAAAUGCGAUAAGUAAUGCGAAUUGCAGAAUUCAGUGAAUCAUCGAAUCUUUGAACGCACCUUGCACCCUUUGGCAUUCCGAAGGGUAUGCUCGUUUGAGUGUCAUUGUACUCUCACACUCUCCGAUCCUAUGGAUUCGGGGAGCGGUGGACUUGGGUGUUGCUGCCUUUCCCUGUGGCUCACCUCAAAUGCGUCAGUGCACCUCUUGGUUGGACAUAGUACGGCGUGAUAAGUGUCUUCGCCGGCACCUCGCAAGAGGGUGGCCGAUCGGGAGCUCUGCGCUUUCAAACCGUCUUCGGACAAUUUCUGACAUCUUGACCUCAAAUCGAGUAGGACUACCCGCUGAACUUAAGCAUAUCAAUAAGCGGAGGA